UACGAAGGGUGCAAACGUUGCUCGGAAUUGUUGGGCGUAAAGCGCACGUAGGCGGCUUAGCAAGUCGGAUGUGAAAGCCCUCGGCUCAACCAAGGAAGUGCAUCCGAAACUGCUGAGCUUGAGUACUUAAGGGGAUCGCGGAAUUCCCGGUGUAGAGGUGAAAUUCGUAGAUAUCGGGAGGAACACCAGUGGCGAAGGCGGCGAUCUGGGAAGAUACUGACGCUGAGGCGCGAAAGCCAGGGGAGCGAACGGG
rnacentral:rRNA from 1 species